CACUCACACGCACUGCAGAGCUGAAAAUAAUCAUGCAGUGGUGAAGGAGGAGGAAGCGUGGGCAGAUAGGGGAUCUAAAUUAUUGGGGUACAUAGCAAGCACCCUUGCCCAUUAUUGCUGCUAUUGUAACGUGUUUGACGUGUGAUGUGGUAUGCUUUGGCUCACAAGCUCUUUGUCUCCUUUGCCAUAGUUGUUUUUCCCUUCCCAUUUUCAGAGUAUAUCCGUUUUUCGAUUUUUGGAAGCUAGCAACACCCAUAAUACUGUCUCCAACAGAUCUCAGAGCCAUCAUAUAAGUCACGGCGAAAUACACAUCGGAUAUUCCGCUUGAAUGGAAACGUGAGCAAAGAAUUCCUCCAAUGGACAGCUCGAGAAGUACCAAAAGGCGAGAACUAGAACAUCCCACGACACGAGCUACGGUCCACCUCAAUUCAAAGGUUGAUAUCGUUCUCUCCAGCCCAGCCGUGCUGCCUUGUUUCUGGGUACCUUGUUUCUGGGUAACUUAACCUGUGACACCCCGCUAUUCUCCAUUCUUCCCUGGGUGGAGGGUUUCCAUGAAAGUAUGUUUCUUUUUAUUGUGUCCCUUGAAGCUGUCUGGAAGCACACACACACACACACACACACACACACACACACACACACGUGCAUGCACAUGCACACACGCACAUCCACACUGAGGUGAAUCGUGCUUCUCCCCCAAAUGAUCACCCCCCCCCCCCACCCUCCCUACCUCCUGUUCUCUGCUUUGGUGCGCUGGCUCACAUAUGUAAUUCUGCCCCCCAACCACUUCUCUCUAUAUCGUACACCCGCCCCUAUACCUCCAACAUGAGCCCCCAUCCUCCAUUUCUUUCUUCCAGAAUCGGGAAUUGGCAAUGCCGGCAAACAUUUGGGUCUGAUCCAGGAGAGGAAGCAUCAGCACCGUACUGGCCUGACUCCUGCAACCGUACCCCCCCACCUUCUUGUUCUCCUACCCUUUCUCACCACCUCCAAAUCCCCC